GAGUUUGAUCCUGGCUCAGGUUGAACGCUGGCGGCAGGCCUAACACAUGCAAGUCGAGCGAACCUAGCUUGCUAGGUGAGCGGCGAACGGGUGAGUAACACGUAGGAAUCUGCCCGAUAGUGGGGGACAACGUCUCGAAAGGGACGCUAAUACCGCAUACGCCCUACGGGGGAAAGCAGGGGAUCUUAGGACCUUGCGCUAUCGGAUGAGCCUGCGUCGGAUUAGCUAGUUGGUGGGGUAAAGGCCUACCAAGGCGACGAUCCGUAGCUGGUCUGAGAGGAUGAUCAGCCACACCGGAACUGAGACACGGUCCGGACUCCUACGGGAGGCAGCAGUGGGGAAUAUUGGACAAUGGGGGCAACCCUGAUCCAGCCAUGCCGCGUGAGUGAUGAAGGCCUUC
rnacentral:rRNA from 1 species